rnacentral:lncRNA from 1 species
CUGACAUCCAUGUAAGAUGUGUCUUGCUCCUCGUCUUCUGCCAUGAUUGUGAGACUUCCCUAGCCACAUGGAACUUGGCUGCAUAUACCGGCACAUGAUUUGAUGAGAGAAGAAGAUUCAGAAAGAGAAAACGAGUUUAAUAUUAUACUUGGGAGGAAGAGCCUUCCCUUGGGCCUCAAAGCAUCUACCAGUAAAUCCUUGAAACUGAAAAGGGCCAGCCGGCUCAUUGUCAGGAGAGGAGAACUAGAGGGCUUUGUGGCAUAGCAUCUUGGAGGGAAGAGCCCCCAGGCAGAGCCUGGAUGUGGACAGCUUUCCAGAGAAAAGAGCAGGCUGCCAGGAAGAAAGCCAGCUGGGAGCAACAGUCCCUCAUGGCUCCAUUGUGUUUGAAAGUACAACUAACCCAAUGCUCAGCACAAAGAAUUUAUUAAAUAAAUGUUUGUCAAAUUGACAUGUGUCCU